AGAGUUUGAUCCUGGCUCAGGAUGAACGCUAGCGGCAGGCUUAAUACAUGCAAGGCGAGGGGGCAGCAAUGUCACCGUCGUACGGGUGCGUAACGCGUAUGCAACCUACCUUUAACUGGGGGAUAGCCCGGGGAAACCCGGAUUAAUACCGCAUGACACAUUUUUGCAGCAUUGCGGAAUUUGUUAAAGAUUUAUUGGUUAAAGAUGGGCAUGCGUUCGAUUAGCUAGUUGGCAGGGUAACGGCCUACCAAGGCGACGAUCGAUAGGGGAGCUGAGAGGUUGAUCCCCCACACGGGCACUGAGAUACGGGCCCGACUCCUACGGGAGGCAGCAGUAGGGAAUAUUGGGCAAUGGAUGCAAGUCUGACUCAGCCAUGCCGCGUGCCGGAAGAAGGCCCUCAGGGUUGUAAACGGCUUUUAUUCGGGAAGAAGAAUAGGGAUGCGUCCUUAUGUGACGGUACCGAAUGAAUAAGCACCGGCUAACUCCGUG
rnacentral:rRNA from 1 species